UACGGAGGGAGCAAGCGUUAUCCGGAAUUACUGGGUUUAAAGGGUGCGUAGGCGGCUUGAUAAGUCAGGGGUGAAAGCCCGCAGCUUAACUGCGGAACUGCCUUUGAUACUGUCGAGCUUGAAAGAGGUUGAGGUCAGCGGAACGUGACAUGUAGCGGUGAAAUGCAUAGAUAUGUCACAGAACACCGAUUGCGAAGGCAGCUGGCUGGACCUGCUUUGACGCUGAGGCACGAAAGCGUGGGGAGCGAACAGG
rnacentral:rRNA from 1 species